rnacentral:rRNA from 1 species
GACGAACGCUGGCGGCGUGCUUAACACAUGCAAGUCGAACGGAAAGGCCCUGCUUUUGUGGGGUGCUCGAGUGGCGAACGGGUGAGUAACACGUGAGUAACCUGCCCUUGACUUUGGGAUAACUUCAGGAAACUGGGGCUAAUACCGGAUAGGAGCUCCUGCUGCAUGGUGGGGGUUGGAAAGUUUCGGCGGUUGGGGAUGGACUCGCGGCUUAUCAGCUUGUUGGUGGGGUAGUGGCUUACCAAGGCUUUGACGGGUAGCCGGCCUGAGAGGGUGACCGGCCAAAUUGGGGACGAGAUACGGGCCAGACUCCUACGGGAGGCAGCAGUGGGGAAUAUUGCACAAUGGGCGGAAGCCUGAUGCAGCAACGCCGCGUGCGGGAUGACGGCCUUCGGGUUGUAAACCGCUUUCGCCUGUGACGAAGCGUGAGUGACGGUAAUGGGUAAAGAAGCACCGGCUAACUACGUG